GGGAUGGGAUGGGAUGGGAUGGGAUGGGAUGGGAUGGGAUGGGAUGGGAUGGGAUGGGAUGGGAUGGGAUGGGAUGGGAUGGGAUGGGAUGGGAUGUGUGCUGGGACAUGGGAUGUGGGAUGAGGUGUGGGAUAUGAUGUAGGAUGGGAUGGGAUGUGGGAUGGGACGUGAACGAGAUAUGGGAUGUGGGAUGGGAUAUGGGAUGUGUGCUAGGGAUGUGGGAUGGGACUUGUGCUAGGAUGGGAUGUAGGAUGAGAUAUGGGAUGGGGUGUGGGAUGGGAUGUGUGCUGGGAUUUGUGCUGUGUCCUCGAUGCCCCUGCAUUAACCUCCCCACUGGCCAAGCUGCCUGAAGCUCUGAAGGUGAUUUCAGGCCCAAGCUGUACAGGCUCUGCUGGCCCUGAGCACAGUCCCUGCACCAAACCCAGCUGUCAAACUGGCAGCAGAGCCUUUGGCAGAGGGUCCUUGGCCAAGGUGUGCUGGGCUGGCCAGAGCAGAGACCCUGGAGGAGCCUCAGCUGAGCACAGAGCAGCUGGGGGCUGCAGCCUGACCUGCUCAGAGCUCCUUUCCAGAGGAGUCCUCCAGCUCUAAACAAGCUGGAGCCGUGUUUGGGUUCUGUCCCUGUCACUUGUCACUCCAGGCUCUGUUUUCCACUGCUCAGUGAACGAUGCCCUGCCCUUGGCUGGUGUAGCAGCAAACAUGGCAUUGCUGGUGUGCUCCUGACCCUGCUCAGCAAUGUUUUUCAGCAAGAAUGCUGUGAGGCACAGAAAGCCAAAACAGGAAUCUUGCAAGGAGUGUCUGUCUAGUCCUGGUGAGCAGGAUUUGCUUUUCUUCCACCAGUUUGUUGACACAGGCCUGGUAUUGGGGUUUGGGCACUUUUUUAAAGCAUUACAAAUGUCUCCAAUCUCUUAUCUUAAGGUGGUGCCAAAGUUCAGUUGCAGUUGUCGGAUGGGCUGGGGUUCAGGUGGAGCCUGGGAUGGUCACAGCAUUUGUUUCACAUUAUCUGACCAGGUCUGGGGCUUUUGCAGUGCCUUGCAUCAUUUUUUUAUAAGAAAUCUCCUUUUCUGCCGAUGUGAGGAGCUGCAGCAGAGCAGGAGGAGGAGCUGCUGA
rnacentral:lncRNA from 1 species